rnacentral:rRNA from 1 species
UGGGGAAUAUUGCACAAUGGGCGCAAGCCUGAUGCAGCCAUGCCGCGUGUAUGAAGAAGGCCUUCGGGUUGUAAAGUACUUUCAGUCGGGAGGAAGGUGUCAAGGUUAAUAACCUUGGCAAUUGACGUUACCGACAGAAGAAGCACCGGCUAACUCCGUGCCAGCAGCCGCGGUAAUACGGAGGGUGCAAGCGUUAAUCGGAAUUACUGGGCGUAAAGCGCACGCAGGCGGUUGAUUGAGUCAGAUGUGAAAUCCCCGGGCUUAACCCGGGAAUUGCAUCUGAUACUGGUCAGCUGGAGUCUUGUAGAGGGGGGUAGAAUUCCAUGUGUAGCGGUGAAAUGCGUAGGGAUGUGGAGGAAUACCGGUGGCGAAGGCGGCCCCCUGGACAAAGACUGACGCUCAGGUGCGAAAGCGUGGGGAGCAAACAGGA